rnacentral:rRNA from 1 species
AUGCACCUCUGUACACCGCACGUACGCCGGUAUAUAUUACCGUCCGUCGGUCGCUCCGAAUGGUUCCUUUCGACAACAGCGAUCUACUUUCCGGCCUUCACAAAGGAGCCAAAGGCAAACAGCGGAGAGAAGGAAAAAGAAAAGAAAAUUGCCGCGCGUCAAAGUCACCGUCCUCCGUCACGUUCUACACGUUUGCAGACGUGCAGCAAGUGUUGCGCCGGGGAGGAGAUAUUCCGCGAUGCGGUGCAUGCACGCCGAUCUCCUCGUUCAUCCGUAUCGACGCUGGAACAAGGCGCGGACGUUGACGGGCCACGCAUCGGCGGCGCCGCCGUCGACGAUCCUGCCGGCGACGAUGAGGUUGACGGCCUCGGUCGGGUGGAACGCGUCCCAGAACACGUACUUGGAGCGGUCCUCGCACAGGGUGGCGGAGCUCGAGUUGGCGACGCCCAUGCAGAGGAACGGCGGGAAGCUGCCGCCGCAGCAAGGGUCCAGCGCCUCCUCGAAACCUACGACACAGAUCCAACUCUCAGUCCACGAAAUGCGAACCUGCCUGCAGCACGCAAGAAAGAAAAUCCUGCUACCGUAUUGACGGUGCUGCCGGAUGAUCUCCAUGACGAUGCCGUGGGUGUUGGUGUAGACGAACGCGCUCUCCGGGCCCGUCUCCUGGUUCAGCCUGCCGAUCAUCCUCUUCAGCCUCCUGUUGUAGCCUUCGCAGAGCCUGUUCACAGCCGCCGAACACUCGCCCGCAGGGAUGAACUCCAGGGCGCGCACGUACGGUAUGCAGCCCAGCGGGCCGACGUCGGCGAUGACAAAUUUCCUAGCCCCGAGCUCGUUCAGCCGCUUCGUUUUGGAAGCGAAUUGCAAGAUGGUGAGCUCAGAACGGGAGCAAAGCAGAGAAAAUUACAGUGCUGGUGA